rnacentral:rRNA from 1 species
AUGGCUCAGGGAUGAACGCUAGCCGGCAGGCUUAAUACAUGCAAGUCGAGGGGCAGCACGAAUAGCAAUAUUUGGUGGCGACCGGCGCACGGGUGCGUAACACGUAUACAAUCUACCUUCAACAGGGGGAUAGCCUUUACGAAAGAGAGAUUAAUACCCCGUAAUAUAAGAGACGGCAUUCGUUUUUAUUGAAAGUUCCGACGGUUGAAGAUGAGUAUGCGUCUGAUUAGCUAGUUGGUGAGUAAUGGCUCACCAAGGCGACGAUCAGGUAGGGGAUCUGAGAGGACCUAACCCCCACACUGGUACUGAGACACGGACCAGACUCCUACGGGAGGCAGCAGUAAGGAAUAUUGGUCAAUGGAGGCAACUCUGAACCAGCCAUGCCGCGUGCAGGAUGACGGCCCUAUGGGUUGUAAACUGCUUUUGUACCAGAGAAAACCACCGUACGUGUACGGUGUUGAUAGUAUGGUAAGAAUAAGCAUCGGCUAACUUCGUG